rnacentral:lncRNA from 1 species
UUAAAGCCGUCUUUCCAGUCCCCUCCCCCUUCCCUAUGUGUCCCACCCGCCCCGUGCUGCGGUCACACCGUCGCCCUCUGGUUAUCAAACCCUGUGCAUGCUGCAGCCUCUUCCAACGACUCCAACUGCCAAGUCUUGAAUUCUUGCCACAACUGUGUGAAUUUGAAUAAUUGUUAUCCUACAUCUGUCCAACGAUGGCACACUGGAGGCAGAUAAGUUGUUUUCUUAGUUUCACAGGUCUACAGAUGGAGAGGAAUUGAGCCCAGGAGCUGUGCUUAAUGGACACAUACAGGAGCCUCAUCCACACCUGAUACACAUGUUUUAGAUGAGAUUUUGGCCUUUCAAGCUGAUGAGAUUGACAUAUGUUUUACUUUGAAUUGAUGCUGUCAUGGGACGAAACUUUGGGAACCUUAGCGGGUAGGUGAAUGUAUUUUGCAUUUGGAAGAGACAAGUAUCCCUGGGAACUAGAGGAUGGAAUGUGACAAGCAGAAUUUCUAAAAUGGUCUACAAAUACAUCUUACCCAAAUCCCUGGAACUUGUUGACGUGAUGAGUCACUGUCCUCUGAUUGUGUUGUUCUAAGGCACAGCUGACUUUACAAUGGGGCGAUCAUGUGGGUCGGCCACAUCUGAUCAUAUGACUCCUUAAAUACCAGAGCUUUCUCUGGCUAGUAGGAGAAGACAAAAUCAGAGAGAGUCAAGGACAAGAAGGACUCAAUGCACUGUUACUGAUUUAACAAUGGAGAAUGCCACAUGAAAAAAAAUACAAAUAGCCUCUAGAAGCAGAGAAUGGCCUCUGACUGACAGCCAACACAAGAAACAUGGACCUCAGUCCUAUAACCACAGGCAAAUGAAUUCUGGCAAUAACUGUGGUAAGCGUGGAAGAGGAGCCUGAGCGUUCGAUGAAAAUGCAGCCAGCUGAUAUGCAGCCAGCUGAUACCUGGAUUUCAACCUCAUGAGAAGCUGAGCAGAGAAUCCACCCACAUUGUUGCAGACUUCUGAUCUACAGAAAUGUGAGGUAGCAAAUGUGUGUUGUUUUAAACCACUAUUUUUGUAAUCUGUUAAUAUGCAGCAAUAGAAAACUAAUUCAGAUGCUUAUCUCUACUCUCCUGACUUUUUAAUUUCCAGAAACAUGUAUGCUAAUCCCUAUAAAGCAAAAAUAUCAAAGAACCAGAGUAAAAAUCUUGUGCUCACCUUCAUGUGACGUUUCCCAAGCCCUUGUAAUGUGAAGGACACUAGGAAGGGCAUUUCAGGCACUAGAGAAAUGUCUCUUUAAUGUUAUCAGCUGUACUUCUGGAAGAAUAAAGAUGGUAUAAUACUUAACUCCAUGUAACAUUAUCUGCAAAUCCAUCAUCAGUCUGUAUUUCCUAUGGCAGAUGUUUUUUAGCUCCUUGUUCUGAGCUUACCAGACAAGGUUUUAUAGCAAUCACCUGUCACCAGCAUAAAUGAACCAAUUCAAGGAGAG